GAGGGGGGGAGGGGAGGGGGAGUAGAUGAGGUGCCUUGUAAAGCGUAAUAGUUUUACAACAAAACAAGACAAUGGAAGCAGACCAGACGAGGAGUUUCAACCAUCGAGACAACCAACAGGACAAGGUGGAACAUGCAACAGGGACCGAGUAGUUCUGCUGCUGUCUGCACAGAACAGAACACAGACCACUAAGCUAUAAUAAUAUAAUAUAAUAAUAAUAUAUAAUAAUAUAUAUAAUAAUACACACUAAGCUGUACAACGAGAUAAUACUGCUCUGUUUCUCUGAGCUUAACUCCAUGCAUGGCUGAGUAGACAGUCAAGUAUAGGAUUCAUCGUAGCGCUGUUUAGUCACUGUUGUUGUUACGAUUCUUAUUGGACAAAAUACCUAUCAAAACAUUACAUAGUAGUAUCUACCUUAAAAUAUACUCAACACCGAACAAAAAUAUAUGUACAAUUAUUGGUCCCAUAUUUCAUCGGCUGAAAUGAAAGAUCCCAGAAAUGUUCAAUUUUAAUAAAAUAUAAAAGCUUAUUUAUCUCAACUUAAGUGCACAAAUUGGUUAACGUCUCUCUGUUAAUGGGCAUUUCCCAUUGGCCAAGAUAAUCCAUCCACCUGAUAGCUGUGGUAUAUCGAGAAGCUGAUUAAACAGCAUGAUCGUUACACAGGUGCACCUUGUGCUGGGUACAAUAAAAGAGCACUAAAAUGUUCCGUUGAAAUAGAUGUUUCUAGUUUUGGGAGAAUGUUCAAUUGGCAUACUGACUGCAGGAAUAUCCACCACAGCUGUUGCCAGAUAAUUGAAUGUUAAUUUCUCUAUCAUAAGCCGCCGCCAACAUCGUUUUAGAGAAUUAGCUAGUACGUCCAACCGGCCUCAUAACUGUAGACUACAUGUAACCACAAAACCCUACAACAUCCACACCAGGCUUCUUCACCUGCGACAUUGUCUGAAACCAGCCACCUGGACAGCUGGUGAAGCUAUGGGUUUGCACAACCAAAUAAUUUCUGCCUAAACGGUCAGAAACCGUCUCAGGAAAGUUCAUCGUCGUCCUCACCAGGGUCUUGACCUGACUGCAGUUUGGCGUCUUAACAGAUUUCAGUGGGAAAAAUGCUCACCUUCGAUGGCCACUGGCAACGCUGGAGAAGUGAUGCUCUUCACGGAUGAAUCCCGGUUUCAACCGUACCGGGCAGAUGGCAGACAGCGUGUGUCACCUCAUGUUUCAAGCAUGAUAAUACAUGGCCCAAUGUCACUAGGAUCUGGACACAAUUCCCUGGAAGCUGAAAAUGUCCCAGUUCUUCCAUGGCCUGCAUACUCAACAGACAUGUCACCCAUUUGAGCAUGUUUGGGAUGCUCUGGAUUGAUGUGUACGACAGCGUGUUCCAGUUCCUGCCAAUAUCCAGCAACUUCACACAGCCAUUGAAUAUUCCUUAUAUGAACUGUAACUCAGGAAAAUCUUUGAAAUUGCUGCAUUUUGCAUUUAGAUUUUUGUUCAGUGUAGUUAGAUAUAUGGAUUUAUUUUCAAAAUAAUUGUACAACCUUUGAAACUUUUUGAAGAUUUCAGAGUAUUUUAUAAAGAUGUGCAUUAUUAUAAAUGUUUUACAUAUUUUUUUUUUACCAAUCGAGACCUAAAUCUCUUUUAUAUAUGAGCAAUAAAUAUAAACAACAACAAUAAACAAUUAACACAUACAACAAAAUACAAAUAAUACUUAAUACUUAAUCCUAUUUUUUAAUAUUUAGUCUGAAGAAUCAAAUGUUUUAUUGUCACAUCACAGUGUAAUGUAUUGUUUUACAGGGUCAGUCAUAGUAGUAUGAUAGGUGUUGUUUUACAGGGUCAGUCAUAGUAGUAUGAUAGGUGUUGUUUUACAGGGUCAGUCAUAGUAGUAUGAUAGGUGUUGUUUUACAGGGUCAGUCAUAGCAGUAUGAUAGGUGUUGUUUUACAGGGUCAGUCAUAGUAGUAUGAUAGGUGUUGUUUUACAGGGUCAGUCAUAGUAGUAUGAUAGGUGUUGUUUUACAGGGUCAGUCAUAGUAGUAUGAUAGGUGUUGUUUUACAGGGUCAGUCAUAGUAGUAUGAUAGGUGUUGUUUUACAGGGUCAGUCAUAGUAGUAUGAUAGGUGUUGUUUUACAGGGUCAGUCAUAGUAGUAUGAUAGGUGUUGUUUUACAGGGUCAGUCAUAGUAGUAUGAUAGGUGUUGUUUUACAGGGUCAGUAGUGUGAUAGGUGUUGUUGUACAGGGUCAGUCAUAGUAGUAUGGUAGGUGUUGUUGUACAGGGUCAGUCAUAGUAGUAUGAUAGGUGUUGUUUUACAGGGUCAGUCAUAGUAGUAUGAUAGGUGUUGUUUUACAGGGUCAGUCAUAGUAGUAUGAUAGGUGUUGUUUACAGGGUCAGUCAUAGUAGUAUGAUAGGUGUUGUUUUACAGGGUCAGUCAUAGUAGUAUGAUAGGUGUUGUUUUACAGGGUCAGUCAUAGUAGUAUGAUAGGUGUUGUUUUACAGGGUCAGUCAUAGUAGUAUGAUAGGUGUUGUUUUACAGGGUCAGUCAUAGUAGUAUGAUAGGUGUUGUUUUACAGGGUCAGUCAUAGUAGUAUGAUAGGUGUUGUUGUACAGGGUCAGUCAUAGUAGUAUGAUAGGUGUUGUUGUACAGGGUCAGUCAUAGUAGUAUGAUAGGUGUUGUUUUACAGGGUCAUAGUAGUAUGAUAGGUGUUGUUUUACAGGGUCAGUCAUAGUAGUAUGAUAGGUGUUGUUUUACAGGGUCAGUCAUAGUAGUAUGAUAGGUGUUGUUUUACAGGGUCAGUCAUAGUAGUAUGAUAGGUGUUGUUGUACAGGGUCAGUCAUAGUAGUAUGAUAGGUGUUGUUUUACAGGGUCAGUCAUAGUAGUAUGAUAGGUGUUGUUUUACAGGGUCAGUCAUAGUAGUAUGAUAGGUGUUGUUUUAUAGGGUCAGUCAUAGUAGUAUGAUAGGUGUUGUUUUACAGGGUCAGUCAUAGUAGUGUGAUAGGUGUUGUUUUACAGGGUCAGUAGUGUGAUAGGUGUUGUUUUACAGGGUCAGUAAUGUGAUAGGUGUUGUUUUACAGGGUCAGUCAUAGUAGUAUGAUAGGUGUUGUUUUACAGGGUCAGUCAUAGUAGUGUGAUAGGUGUUGUUUUACAGGGUCAGUCAUAGUAGUAUGAUAGGUGUUGUUUUACAGGGUCAGUCAUAGUAGUAUGAUAGGUGUUGUUGUACAGGGUCAGUCAUAGUAGUAUGAUAGGUGUUGUUUUACAGGGUCAGUCAUAGUAGUAUGAUAGGUGUUGUUUUACAGGGUCAUUCAUAGUAGUGUGAUAGGUGUUGUUUUACAGGGUCAGUCAUAGUAGUAUGAUAGGUGUUGUUUUACAGGGUCAGUCAUAGUAGUAUGAUAGGUGUUGUUUUACAGGGUCAGUCAUAGUAGUGUGAUAGGUGUUGUUUUACAGGGUCAGUCAUAGUAGUAUGAUAGGUGUUGUUUUACAGGGUCAGUCAUAGUAGUGUGAUAGGUGUUGUUUUACAGGGUCAGUCAUAGUAGUAUGAUAGGUGUUGUUUUACAGGGUCAGUCAUGGUAGUAUGAUAGGUGUUGUUUUACAGGGUCAGUCAUAGUAGUAUGAUAGGUGUUGUUUUACAGGGUCAGUCAUGGUAGUAUGAUAGGUGUUGUUUUACAGGGUCAGUCAUAGUAGUAUGAUAGGUGUUGUUUUACAGGGUCAUAGUAGUAUGAUAGGUGCCCUUUUCAGUUACUGACCCACCACUCUAACCACUAGUCUACCUGACCCACCA